rnacentral:rRNA from 1 species
GACGGAGGAUGCAAGCGUUAUCCGGAAUGAUUGGGCGUAAAGCGUCCGCAGGUGGCAGUUCAAGUCUGCUGUCAAAGACCGGGGCUUAACUUCGGAAAGGCAGUGGAAACUGAACAGCUAGAGUAUGGUAGGGGCAGAGGGAAUUCCUGGUGUAGCGGUGAAAUGCGUAGAGAUCAGGAAGAACAUCAGUGGCGAAGGCGGUCUGCUGGGCCGUUGCUGACGCUGAGGCGCGACAGCGUGGGGAGCAAACAGG